rnacentral:rRNA from 1 species
CCUACGGGUGGCAGCAGUGAGGAAUAUUGGUCAAUGGGCGAGAGCCUGAACCAGCCAAGUCGCGUGAAGGAUGACGGCCCUACGGGUUGUAAACUUCUUUUGUCAGGGAGCAAUUGGGUCCACGCGUGGGCUUAGCGAGAGUACCUGAAGAAAAAGCAUCGGCUAACUCCGUGCCAGCAGCCGCGGUAAUACGGAGGAUGCGAGCGUUAUCGGGAUUUAUUGGGUUUAAGGGGUGCGUAGGCGGACUGGAAAGUCAGCGGUAAAAUCGAGAGGCUCAACCUCUUUCCGCCGUUGAAACUGUCGGUCGUGAGUGGGCGAGAAGUAGGCGGAAUGCGUGGUGUAGCGGUGAAAUGCAUAGAUAUCACGCAGAACUCCGAUUGCGAAGGCAGCAUACCGGCGCCCGACUGACGCUGAGGCACGAAAGCGUGGGUAUCGAACAGGAUUAGAUACCCCUGUAGUC